AACGAACGCUGGCGGCAUGCCUAACACAUGCAAGUCGAACGAGACCUUCGGGUCUAGUGGCGCACGGGUGCGUAACGCGUGGGAAUCUGCCCUUGGGUUCGGAAUAACAGUUGGAAACGACUGCUAAUACCGGAUGAUGACGUAAGUCCAAAGAUUUAUCGCCCAGGGAUGAGCCCGCGUAGGAUUAGCUAGUUGGUGGGGUAAAGGCUUACCAAGGCGACGAUCCUUAGCUGGUCUGAGAGGAUGAUCAGCCACACUGGGACUGAGACACGGCCCAGACUCCUACGGGAGGCAGCAGUGGGGAAUAUUGGACAAUGGGCGAAAGCCUGAUCCAGCAAUGCCGCGUGAGUGAUGAAGGCCUUAGGGUUGUAAAGCUCUUUUACCCGGGAUGAUAAUGACAGUACCGGGAGAAUAAGCCCCGGCUAACUCCGUG
rnacentral:rRNA from 1 species